rnacentral:hammerhead_ribozyme from 1 species
AUCCGGAUGACGAGUCCCAAAUAGAACGAAACGCGCAUCCUAGAU